rnacentral:rRNA from 1 species
GGACUACAAGGGUUUCUAAUCCCAUUUGCUCCCCUGGCUUUCGUUCCUCAGCGUCAGUUACGGCCCAGUAAGUCGCCUACGCCACUGGUGUUCUUCCUGAUAUCUACGCAUUUCACCGCUACACCAGGAAUUCCACUUACCUCUACCGCACUCCAGUCUGCCAGUAUUCAAUGCACUCCCAGGGUUGGGCCCCGAUCUUUAACACCGAACUUAACAAACCGCCUACGAACUCUUUACGCCCAAUAAAUCCGGACAACGCUUGCAUCCUACGUCUUACCGCGGCUGCUGGCAC